rnacentral:rRNA from 1 species
CAAGAGCACCGCUGGGUAGCUACGUAUGGAUUAGAUAAUCGCUGAAAGCAUCUAAGUGAGAAACUAACCUCGAGAUGAGAUUUCCCAUUCGUCAGAAGUAAGACCCCUGAGAGACGAUCAGGUAGAUAGGCUAGAAGUGGAAGUGUAGUGAUGCAUGGAGCGGACUAGUACUAAUAGGUCGAGGACUUAACCAAG